rnacentral:ncRNA from 1 species
GAAAAGGCAAACUUAAAGAAAUUUAAGGACGCAAAGCUAUAGGGACUAAGGUGUUAAAACUAUGUCAGCCAGCUACCGA